rnacentral:rRNA from 1 species
CAGCAGCCGCGGUAAUACGAAGGUGGCUAGCGUUGUUCGGAUUUACUGGGCGUAAAGCGCGCGUAGGCGGACUUUUAAGUCAGGGGUGAAAUCCCGGGGCUCAACCCCGGAACUGCCUUUGAUACUGGAAGUCUUGAGUAUGGUAGAGGUGAGUGUAAUUCCGAGUGUAGAGGUGAAAUUCGUAGAUAUUCGGAGGAACACCAGUGGCGAAGGCGGCUCACUGGACCAUUACUGACGCUGAGGUGCGAAAGCGUGGGGAGCAAACAGGAUUAGAUACCCCGGUAGUCCCUGUCUCUUAUAC